AACGAACGCUGGCGGCAUGCCUAACACAUGCAAGUCGAACGAGACCUUCGGGUCUAGUGGCGCACGGUUUCGUAACGCGUGGGAACCUUCCCUUAGGUUCGGCAUACCUCCCCGACUGGGGUGCUAAUACCGGAUAAUGUCUUCUGACCAAAGAUUUAUCGCCUUUGGAUGUUCCCGCGUUGGAUUAGCUAGUUGUUAGGGUAAAAGCAUACCAAGGCGACGAUCCAUAGCUGGUAUGAGAGGAUGAUCAGCGACACUGGGAGUGAGACACGGCCCAGACUCCUACGGGAGGAAGGAGUGGGGAAUAUAGGAAAAUGGGGGAAAGGAUGAUCCAGCAAUGACGCGUGAGUGAUGAAGGCAUUGGGGUUGUAAAGCUCUUUUAACCGGGAUGAUAAUGACAGUACCGGGAGAAUAAGCCCCGGCUAACUCCGUG
rnacentral:rRNA from 1 species